rnacentral:rRNA from 2 species
CAUUCACGGAGAGUUUGAUCCUGGCUCAGGACGAACGCUGGCGGCGUGCUUAACACAUGCAAGUCGAACGAUGAACCACUUCGGUGGGGAUUAGUGGCGAACGGGUGAGUAACACGUGGGCAAUCUGCCCU